GCACAUUAUUAUUGUAUGGAUAUCACUAAACGUAGAUGUUCGUCUCCGCUACACUUACAUACUCUAUUUCUUCCCUCCCUCUCCUUUCCUCUUUAUCUUCUUCCUUCUUCUUAUCCUUGCCUCUGCAGAUCACUCUCACUAAAACACACCCUCUCUCUCUCUCUCUAGAACUCGCAAAACAAACCUAGCCAGAAUGAUCUCGAUGUUGGCUCUCUGUGUGCUUCCGGCGCUCGUUAGCGCCACCGGCCGGUUGCGAACCCAUUGAUUGUGGAGGGUCGGGUUUACUGCGGCACAUGCCGAGCCGGGUUCGAGACCUCUGCAACCACCUGUCUGUCGGCUCGAUCGAAGUUCGAACCAUGCUUCUGACACUUGAAGGAUCGAUUCUGUUUGCUAAUAGAGUAGUAUACUGUGCGUUGAGAUAGAUCUGGUAGAUCUAAGCGAGGGUUUUAUCUAGUUAAGGACUAUUGUGUACAUAUAUUAUCAUACAAGACUGCUACAUAUAUCAUUUUGCGGAUCCGGAUUAGGAAUGUCGAUGGGUCGGGUUUGUAGCUGGCACUUUCUUGGAUCCAGACAUCUGGUUGUUAGGCUCGAAUGCUUGAUACUGUACUGUAUACUAAUUUACGUGAAGGCCUCUUUUUAGGUUUCACGGUGAGCCUAAUCCGUUUGUGUACCACAAUCAGCCCCAAACCCGGGAUCUAGGCGGAAACUUGACCCGGUCAUGCCCAGAGGAAGUGAACCCCAUAGGUGAAGAUUUAGGGCUGGCUUGGUUGAGUUUUCUUUUCUGACAACAUUUUAAACGAGAGAUGUUUGAAAUUCAUUUGUUGACAGUUUUUUUUUUUUUUUUUCGGAGAUUGUUUUCUGAAAAUCGGGUCAAGAAAAAGCAUGUUUCAUAGAAGAGUAGUGCUAUUGCGAGCGCGCGCUCGCAAUAGCACUCACACGCACCCCAAUUCCAGCCUCAGGAUGACUAUUUUUUAGAGAUUCGAGACCCUGAUGACAACUAAGGAAAAUGAAAGCACCUUUUUUCUCUCUUUCUUUGUAUGUUUUGCCUCCUGAACCCAGCUUUCUCUCUCCUGGUUAACUCUCACAUAGCCUCUCUAUCUUAGGGCUAGUUUGGUGUGCUGGAAUGGACUGGAAUGGAAUGACCAUUCCAACUUCUGAUUCCUUUUCUCUUGUUUGGUGUGCCAUUUUAAAGGUGGAAUGACUAUUCCAACUCAUUCUCUGAGAAUGCUCAUUCCAUCAAGAAGUUGGAAUGGUCAUUCCUCUUCUUGACCAAAGGAAUGACCAUUCCAUUUCCAACAAAAAUUAAAAUAAAAAAUAAGUAAAAUAAAAAAAAUAAAAAAAUAAAAAAUAAAAAAUAAAAACACCGUCUAACCUAAAAACUUCUUUCACACAGACUCUGUCUCCCUCAGACGUCUUCCUCCAUCGUAUCUCUCUUUUCAAACACUACUAAAAAACUUUCCUCUGCCUCCACUUCUCCCCUCACAGUUCCACACUUCCCUCUCUCUCCUCCUUCCUCUCUCACCACCCAGCAUACUUUGAAUGAAAAACCUUCGAAACCCUCGCAUAUACACACACAGUAGCACUCUGCAAUUGUUUGUUCCUCUUGCUUCCAAGCUUUUCUCUGAACAUUCCAGAGGGAGCAUCCAUAGCAAUAGUUCGUAAACUCACCAAGCUCUGAACUUUUUAAUCUUAGAGAGACAGAGAAGCAAGUACUCACCGUCAGAGCUGAUCUAGGGUUUUCUGCAUCUCUUUAUUUCUCUCUUGAUUCAAUCGAAAAUGGCAAUGACGGCACAAACUCCUUUUAUUUUAGGGGAACGCCAGUCGGGGCAGGACGUUCGUACUCAAAACAAGUUGUUGUUGAUCAAUUCUUAAUUCUUAUUUAUUUUUAGUUUUUUUUUUUUAUUUUUUUAUUUUGAAUUUUGAUAAGAAUAUUUUGAAAAAAAAAAUUCAUUCCAUUCUAGUUUUAGGAUGGUCCAGCCAAACAUUGAAAUGGAAAUAAGCAUUCCAUUCUUUAUCAUUCCAGGUUUGAAACCAAACAAUGGAAUAAGAAUGACCAUUCCUUUCCUUUUCCAUUCUCAUUCUAUUCCUACUUAAAUUCUCAUUCCAUUCUAUUUUAUUCCUGCACACCAAACUAACCCUUAGUCUUUGACUCUUGUUUUUUUAUUUUUUUUGGAAGUCUCUCCUGGUUAACUCUCACAUGGCCUCUCUCUCUUUAGUCUUUGACUCUUGUGCUUUUUUUUUUUUCCCGGAAGUUUUGCCUUUGUUUUAUUAGCGGGCUAUUUACUUUUUAUUCAAUAUUUUAUAGAAAAAAUCCUUUUUAUUGCAUUCAGGAAUAGUAUAAUUGCACUGGUGAUUUGUUUUAGUCCGUCUCUCAAGAAUCACAAUGGUUCGAUUUUCUCAUUUUUAUUUAAUUUUUUCUCUUUUUUGGUAAGUAUGCAAUGAUAAUUGUAAAAAAAUAGUAUGCAAUGCCUAUUAUCUAUACCUGAAGCAAAAAUUAUUAUAUAUUUUUUUCUCUUUUCAUAUUACUUCUAAGACAUUUAUAGAUCCUUGAAGAAAUGGGGAAAAAAUUAGCAGGAACGCAACUAACUAAAAGUAAUACAAAAAUAAGAACUCCAGCACCCUAACACAAACACUACUGAAUUUGUGAUGAAGCAAAAAUUACCAUAUAUUUUUCUCUUUCUUCACAUUAAUUUUCAAAAAUUUAUAGCACCUGAUCCUUGGAGAAGAUGGGGAAGAAAAAAAAAAAUAGCUUCUGGAAAACAAGAAGUAAAAGUAAUAAAAAAAUAAGAACUCCAACAGCCUAACACAAAUAUUACUGGAUUUGUGCUGAAGCAAAAAUUACUAUAUAUUUUUCCCCUUUUUCACAUUAAUUCGCAAAAAUUUAUAGUAGUUGAUCCUUGAAGAAUAUGGGGAAAAAAUAGCUGCUAAAGGAACAAAAAAACAUUGUUGGGAAUUUCUAAAACUGGAUUUGAACUCCACCAUCACUCCAAUGCAAAAGAAUCCAUGUAGCUUGAAUUCAAAUAUCAUUUUCAAAAUCCUGCAAGAGAUUGGGGGAGAGAAAUAUUUGAGCAUCUUAAUAAAUUGUUUAAACAAAUUAAAUAAAAACGCAACACUCUAAAGUUCGAUACGUACUUCACCUUAUAUAAUUUAUUAAGAUCAAAACCAACAUCACUGGAGUUGAGAUUCAAUGAACCAAAUUGUGCAUUUCCCUAUAAGUCAUAAAAUACGUGGUAAGUUACAUGUAACUAGAACUUUUUUUAAAAAAAUCAGUACAUGGUGAUACUAACUAUACCAAUUGAAAUAAAAAAUAAUAAUAAAAGUAUCAUGCAGGAAAAGAAAUUAUGUUUACCAACCUGACUCGUGGUAGGUAUAAACGAGUCUUGAAAGAGCAAAUUGUUCACUAUUAGUUGUUAACCUUGAACUUGAACCAUGCUUCUUUUUCCCUACAUGGAGGAUUAAAUAAAAUAGUAAAGAGCUGCUAAAGGAACACAAGUAAAAGUAAUAAAAAAAUAAGAACUCCAACAACCCAACACAAACAUUACUGGAUUUGUGCUGAAGCAAAAAUUACCAUAUAUUUUUCCCCUUUUUCAAAUUAAUUCGUAAAAAAUUAUAGUAGUUGAUCCUUGAAGAAGAUGGGGAAAAAAUAGCUGCUAAAGGAACAAAAAAAACAUUGCUUGGAAUUUUCAAAAACUAGAUUUGAACUCCACCAUCACUCCAAUGCAAAAGAAUCCAUGUAGCUUGAAUUCAAAUAUCAUUUUCAAAAUCCUGCAAGAGAUUGGGGGAGAGAAAUAUUUGAGCAUCUUAAUAGAUUGUUUAAACAAAUUAAAUAAAAACGCGACACUCUAAAGUUUGAUAUGUAGUUACCUCAUGUGAUUUAUUAAGAUCAAAACCAACAUUAGUGGAGUUGAGAUUCAAUGAACCAAAUUCUAUAUUUCCCUAUAAGUCAUAAAAAUAGUGGUAAGUUAAAUGUAACAAGAACUAUUAAAAAAAAAUCAGUACAUGGUGAAACUAACUAUACCAAUUGAAAUUAAAAAAAAAAAAAAAGUAUCAUGUAGGAAAAGAAAUUAUGUUUAUCAACCUGACUCGUUGUAGGUAUAAACAAGUCACUUAUUUGUGACAGCAAAUUGUUCACUUUUAGUUGUUGAACUUGAACUUGAACCAUGUUUGUUUUUCCCUACAUGGAGGAUUAAAUAAAAUAGUAAAAUUUAAAAUUCAUGUAAAUGAUUGUACAUAGAGCAAUCUUACUUAUUAGUAGCCUUACUUUUGUUCUUUGGCCUUGAAUCUAGAAAUGAUUUCAUUCUUUCUGGACGCCCUUUAUGCCUCACAACCAAGGGAUCAAGUAACUUACUCUGAUUCUCAAAAUUAUUAGAAACUACACAACUAUUUAGUGUGAUCAUUUCAGAAGGCUUUAUUGCUAAUUCUUUUCUUGCAGCAUCAAUUUCAUUUGACAACUUCUGCAAACCAUUCAUAGCCAAGUUGUAUAUUUCCUCAUGCAUAACACUUUUUUCAGCAAUGCUUGAGGUCUCACGACAAAUAUUGCUAUACCGAAGCGUCACUGGUUCAUGACAAUCAGCCUGCAUUUGUUCACCUAUCUCAUCCACCACCGGGCCAGACUUUUCAUCUCUUGUAAACCUUUUUAAAAAGUAUUGAGAUGGAACAUUUCGAAUAUCUAUGACUAUAAACACCUUUAGGAUAUGCCGGCAUAAGUAUCCUGCAAAUUCAAAUAGUUGACAUGUACAUUUUACAUCAAUAGAUGUAGCAGAGCUACAAAAAGUAACAAUAUGCCCCCCAUCUUUUUGGUUUCCUCUCCACACAAUAAAAUAUGCUUUUUCCAUAUUCCCAGUCAUUUCAUGAUUGUAGUUAAGACCUAAUAAUAACUCUUCUUGGAACAUUUUAAAGAUUGCUCUUGUAUAAAUUUUAGAAGCAUAUUCUUCAAUGUCCAUUCCAAUCUUUAAAAAAGGCUUCUUAUAACGUCUCAAAAUCUUCAUCAUUUUCCAUUUCCCUUUUAUGUAUGAUAGCUCUUUCAUACUGCUUUACAAAUUCACAUAGUGGCAUAUCUUUCUUCAAGUACCCAUCAAAGUAGGCAUUUAUGCUUUCACUACGUUGUGUUGUGUACAUAGAUGCACAAAAAACAUCACGUGUAUAAACAGCUGCCCAUUUUUCCCUUUUUCCAUACAAGCUCAUCAACCAUUUAAUAUCUCUCAAGCCAUACUUUUCCAACAUUGCUUCCCAACUAAGCUGGAAAUCUUCUAUGGAUUCACAUCCGUACAGGCAAUUAUUGAAAUCAUUUUUAAAUCCAUUAUGUGCAUUGUAUAUACUUCCCAGCUUUUUGGUAGCAUUUCUUGUGAUGUGCCAAAGACAAAAUCUAUGUCGAGUGCCUGGUAAUGCAUGUGAUAUUGCCCCAGCAAUUGCAGACUCUUGGUCAGUAAGAAUCACUUUAGGUUGUUUUCCAUGCAUCGCUUUCAUUCAUGUUGAAAUUACCCAAAAGAAAGACUCCUCCGUUUCAUCAAAAAGAAGUGCACCACCAAACAACAUUGUUUGAUAAUGAAGAUUUACCCCUACAAUAGGAACAAAUGGCAUACCAUACUUAUUCGUCCAAUAUGUUGGAUCAAAACAAACAACAUCCCCAAAAUAGUGAGAGUCCAUUCUUGAUCUAGAAUUUGCCCAAAAAAUUUUAAGUCAUCCUACCAUCCGAAUCAACUUGAAUUGAAUAAUAGAAUGAUCGAUUAUUGGUUUGUUGACUUUCAAGAAAAUUAAGAACAGCUUGCACAUCUCCAUUUUGAAUCUCUUUUCUUCUUUUAAAACCCAAAAAGUUUCUUGCAUCUUUUGAAGUAAAACCAAUAUUACGAUAUCCACCAUCAAGUGCCAAAAAAACUCAUUAUCAAAUUUGUCUUUACGCCAGAUUCACUCAUAUUUGAUAACAUUUGACCAUGACCUUCUUUUACCUUUCUAUGCGAUGGCAACUUAUGUUUUUUACUUGGAGUUACAAGAGAAUGAUUAUGUUCUUCAAUAACUUUAGAGAUAACCCAUCUAUCUUCUUUCUUAAUAACUGAUAUCUUUGCUUUGCAACCCACUCUUGUUUCAGGAAAUUGCCUUUUUUUUCCCCUUCAUUUACCUUGAAUCUUGGUUCUUUAAAACCUUGAAGUGAGCAACAAAAUCGACGGCCAAUUACUUCUCCCGUCUUCUUAGAUGUUCGAGAAUAACUUUUUCAAACACUAAAUCCCUUGUUAUAAGCAUAUCCAUUAUAAAAUUCAAAUACCUCAUCUAAGGAUUUAAAUUCCAACCCAACAUACGGAGCAAAAUCCUCUUUUUCAUCACAAGGAAUAAUAUCAUUUGUUUAAACAACCUCCACAUCAUCCUCAACAAAAUUAGAGCAAGUGUAAUCUUGAUUUUUAUGUUGUAAAACAUCUUCAUCCAAAUCUUGAAUUACAACAUCCAUUUUAAUCUAUGCAAAAGAUAAUUAUGUAGAACAAUUUCACUAAUUAAGAAAAGGUAACAACAAAUUCACUUUAACCUGUUAUAAGGAACUCCAAAAUAAUUAUAUAAAAAAUAUUAUGACCAACAGAAAUUAUAAUGCAUUUAUGUUUACAAAAAUCAGAGUACUGUGAAGGACAUCCAGAAUGGUCUUAUUCUCAGUCAUGAUUUCAUAACUAAAUUACUCAUUGUGUUCCAAUACACACAUUUGAUGAAUUGAAAUGAAUGAUUGCCACAAUUACAUGUAAGAAGACAAAUAAGAACUUCACACUACAAGGACAUGCUAUGAUAGGUUCACAAAUAAGAAUAUGAUAGGAUGAGAUUUUGAUGGUGAAUUAAUCAAAUUUUUCUGUAAUUGCCUUUCAUCAACUUGGAUUUUCCCCCUAAUAUGGAGGGGACAAUAACAUAACUGCUGGGGAAAAGGUGUUGUUGAAAGUAAGAACACGGUCUAGAGUGGAGAUUAAAUAAUAAAAACAUAAAGAUGUCUAAAGUUCGAUAAAAGUAAAACAAUUCCAUAAAUAACAGUUAAACGUCUUAAGUAAUCAAGCCUUCCAGUGAUGCCUUAGCAUAGAAAGUGUGAGCCCUAAAUUCGGGAUGUAAUUCUAAAUAAAAAUACUAUCGAAUUCUCACCCAAUUUUAAGAAGAAGACCGAAUCGAGAUUGAAGACCACAACUACUGGGUGUGUUUACAAUCAGGCAAAUAUUUCAUUAUUGGCCAAACAUGUGAUAGAGCCGAAAAAGAGAGAAAGACAGAGAAGUUGCAAACUUUAUCGAAGAAAAAAAGACAAUAGGCAAAAGAGAGAGAGAAAAGUGAUAUGAGUUAACCAGGAGAGAGAAAGUUAGGUUAAGGUUUGGGUUAAAGAGGCAAAACGUACAAAGAAGAGAUAGAAAAAAAGGUGUUUUCAUUUCCUUAGCUGUCAUCAGUGUCUCGAAUCUCUAGAAAAUAGUCAUCCUAUGGCUGGAAUUGGGGUGCGCGUGAGUGCUAUUGCGAGCGCGUGCUUGCAAUAGCACUACUCUUCAUAGAAUAGGAUUUCAGUUAUCUGAGUUGAAUUAUUUUCGGAAGAGGAGGUUGCUAGACAACCGCCCAUUUGAUUGGGCGGUUGAUAAACCAUCAUGUGUUUGUUGGUUUUUUUUUUUUUUUUUCUUAAAUCUAUCCUAGAUUCAACUAGACUUAAUAUCCAGCAGGAAGGGACAUACUUGGUCAUGUAGUUUUUUGGAGUUGAAAUUUUAAGCAGCAACACGUAAUAGGAUAGAUUUAAGAAAAAAAAAAAAAAAAACCUACAACACGUGAUGGUUCAGUCGCCCAAUGAUGGGCAAUUGUUGCUAGCAAACCUCAUUUUUAGAAAAUUGAACCAAAAAUGUUCCAAGUAACUGGUCCAAAUAGUGGGGAGGAAUGAUAUAACUUACUUUACAAAGUAGAUAUAUUGCAAUCCAAAAAUAUAAUGUUGUGGGAAAACUGCUGUACACACAAAUUUCAUACUCUGCAAUUAAAAGAAUGAAAUAGGGAGCAAAUAGUAAUUUAUUGAUUUAUGAAAAUUUGAGUACAGUGGUAUUCUUUCCGAAAGAAAGAAAGUAUCCUCUAAUUCGAUCUCUUUAUUGGUUGGAUCCAAGGGUUGUUGGAGCUUGAUCUUGAAUCGACAAUUUCCUUCUAGUAUUUGUAGUUCAGGAUGACUGCUCCGAUUGAGGGCUGACGAAGUUUGAUUUCGAACGGUGUUUGUUUGGUGAUUCUUCAAACUUGUUGAAUCACAGAGAAAGAACGACACUAUUUUGAUGUGUUUGUUGUUCUUUGUUGAAUUUGAGCAAGAACGGUAUGACUUUGGAUGUGCUUGUUAUUCUCUGCCUUCAGACGCUUGGGUGGUAUUUUACUCUGAAAUUUUGGACUUUUGAAUUUUAUGGUCCCUCUGGAUUUCUCUGAAUUUCUGGACUCUUUGAAUAUCUGGUCCUCUUCCUCCAUGUUUUUAUUUAUAAGCUUCUUGGAUUAAUAGUAUGAUGACACGUAUUCUCUCUUGAUAAUGACAUAACUAUAACUGGCCGAGUUGGGCCGGUUAUAUUGUGAUAAUUAUUCAUAAAAAUAAUUAUUUCAAAUAUAAUUUAUUAAGAAUAAUUAUAUUUUUAUUUAAUCAUUUAGCCUAAGCUAAUUAAAUAAUUUAAGUUGACAAAGUUUGAGCUAAGUAAAUAAUUUAAUUAAACAUAAGACCCGUAUUUGAUGAAAGAAGAAAAAGACUGAAAGAAAAAAGAUGAAAGUAGAAAAAGACGAAAGAAUAAAAGACAAAGUAGAAAAAGAUGAAAGAAGAAAAGACAAAAAAAAAAUGAAAAAACGAAAAAAAACAUACCGAUUAUUUGCUCAGGGCAGGCCAAGGUUGCAAUCCAACAGUCUUAAGAGGUUGUAAUCUAACAAGCCUGCUUUCGUCUUUUUCUGCUUUCGUCUUUUUCUACUUUCGUCUUUUUUCUUUCUUUCUUUCUCUGUAACAUGUGAUGGUUCAUUCGCCCAAUCAGGUGGACAACUGUUGCUAGCAAACCUCAUUUUCAGAAAUUUGAACCAAAAAUGUUCCAAGUAAUUGAUCCAAGUAGUGGGGAGGAAUGAUAUAACUUACUCUACAAAGUAGAUAUAGUGCAAUCUAAAAAUAUAGUGUUGUGGGAAAAUUGCGUUAGUCAAUAUAUGUAAAACAUUGUACCAAGAAUGAUAUAUUGAGGUUGAAAAUACAAAUGUCCUGGUAACAUUAGAAAUGAUACAACUUACUUUACAAAGUAGAUAUACUGCAAUCCAAAAAUAUAAUGUUCUGGAAAUUGCAUUAGUCAAUAUAUGUAAAACAUUGUAGCAAGAAUGAUAUAUUGAGGUUGAAGAUGCAAAUGUCCUGGAAACAUUAGAAAUGUGGUGUAUAUUUUACUUAAUUGAGAAUAAUUGAAGAAAGAGGCCGGAGAUAUAUAAUGAGGUAAGGAGCAUGCUCAUCAAAUAUAUCUUCACUAUAUUAUAUGGUGGAGCAGGAAACAAUAGACACGCUAUGCACAUGUUCCUUGCCUCAUUUUCUUUUUGUUCUCUCUUUCGACUUUCAAUUAUUGUCCUUCGUCCUUACUUACAAUUCUUGUAGGCGGCAACAAUUAAUAAAAUGAACCACAUUAUUCCAAAACGAUCAAAACGUGUCCUUCCACUAUUAGAUAGUAUAAAUGUACCAUGAGAGGUGGCAUUUGCCGAUGCAUGUGCACCCUAUAAUCAAUCAUUCAUAUCAUUAGUUGUCUUCAGUUUUUCAACUCUUCUGAUAGCAUGUUUGAUUGAGAUUAUGGUCUUAGAGCAGAAUGGCGUUUAGAAUUCAUGUGGUCGAUUCCAAAUAGUUGAGAAAGGACUUUAUGGAAUGGUAAUUUAAGUCUAAUUAUGACAUUUAUACCAAUUCUUUAAAAUUUUGGUCGGUAAUAGGAGUUUUUUUUAUAAUGUGCAAAACUACUUAUAAUAUGUUCGAAGAAAAAAGAAGUCACUAAUUUUGGUCGGUAAUAGGAGUUUUUUUUAUAAUGUGCAAAACUACUUAUAAUAUGUUCGAAGAAAAAAGAAGUCACUAAUUUUGGAAGAAUAUAGUGGAACAUCAGAAAUUGGGUUGGCUUAAUAUAUUUGAAUAGUAUGUGCACACAAACACAUAUGAAGAGGGAUGGCCGCCUGACUAUCAGUUGGGUGAAACAAUACCAAAACUUGCAACUGUUUUUUCCCAUUUGGCGGUUGUAUUAUGAGCAUUUAGUCAGACGUAUGUCAAAUUGAAACUCAUUUGUUGACAGUUUUUGGGAAAUUGCUCUAUGAAAAUUGGGUCAAGAAAAGGCAUGCUUCAUAGAAUAGUCUUUUAUAGGGUCUUAGUUAUUUGAGUUGAAUUAUUUUUAGAAGUAGUUGUUGCUAGACAGUCGCCCAUUUGAUUGGGCGGCUGAUAAACCAUCAUGUGUUUGUUGGUUUUUUUUUUUUUAAAUCGAUCCUAGAUUCAACUAGACUCUAUAUCCAGCAGGAAGGGACAUACUUGGUCAUGUAGUCUUUUGGAGUUGAAAUUUUAAGCAGCAACACGUGAAAGGAUUGAUUUAAUAAAAGAAAAAAAACCUACAACACGUGAUGGUUCAGUCGCCGUUGGGCGACUGUUGCUAGCAAUUUUCAGAAAAUUGAACCAAAAAUGUCCCAAGUAACUGAUCUAAGUAGUGGGGAGGAAUGAAAUAACUUGCUUUACAAGUAGAUAUCUUGCAAUCCAAAAAUAUAAUAGCAGAAUGGCGUUUUGAAUUCACGUGGUGUCCAAAUAGUUGAGAAAUGACUAUGGAACUGAAAUUUUAGUCUAAUUACGACAUUUAAAUAAAAAUUGGUUGGUAAUGGGAGUUUUUGAUAAUGUGGCACAAAUUCAAUUUGUGCAAAGCUCUACUUCUAUAAUAUGUUAGAAGAAAAAAGACAUCACUAAUUUUGGAAGAAUAUUGUGGAACAUCAUAAAUAGGGUUGGCUUAAUAUAUUUGAAUAGUAUGUGCACACAAAUACAUAUGAAAAGGGAUGGGCCGCCUGAUUAUCAGUUGGGUGAAACAGUACCAAAUCUUGCAACACUUUUUUCCCAUUUCGCGGCUGUAUUAUGAGCAUGUAGUCACGCAUAUGUCUACUUGAAAUUCAUUUGUUGACAGUUUUUUGGAAAUUGUUCUAUGAAAAUUGGGUCUAAGUAAAGACAUGAUUCAUAGAAUAGUCUUUUAUAGGGUUUUAGUUAUUUGAUUUGAAUUAUUUUUAGAAGUGGUGGUUGCUAGACAGUCCCCCAAUUGAUUGGGUUAACCAAUAAACCAUAACGUGGUGUUGGUUUUUUUUUUUCUUUUUUUUCUUCUUAUAUCUAUCCUAGAUUCAACUGGACUUUUGGAGUUGAAAUUUUAAGCAGCGGACGUGUUAAAUGAUUGAUAUAAGAAAAAAAAAAAAAAACCUACAUAAAGUGAUGGUUCAGCCGCCCAAUCAGAUAGGCAGCUGUUGCUAGCAAACUUCAUUCUCAGAAAAUUAACCAAGUCCCAACUUCGUUAGUCUUUUAUAGGGUUUUAGUUGUUUGAGUUAAUUGUUUUCUGAAGUGGUUGUUGCUAGACAGUGGCCAAUUUGAUUGGGUCGACUAUAAACCAUAACGUGUUGUUGGUUUUUUUUUUUUUAAUUUUAUUAUAUCAAU